rnacentral:miRNA from 1 species
UGUCCAGUAGCACCUUAGAGACCAACUAAGUUUGUUCUGGGUAUAAGCUUUCGUGUGGUGUCUGAAGAAGUGUGCAUGCACACGAAAGCUUAUAUCCAGAACAAACUUAGUUGGUCUCUAAGGUGCUACUGGACA